rnacentral:rRNA from 1 species
CAGAUGUGAAAGACCCGGGGCGUCAACCUCCGGAAUAGCAUUUGUAAACUAGGCAGAACUAGAGUACUGUAGGAGGGGGGUAGGAAUUUCAGGUGUAGCGGUGAAAUGCGUAGAGAUCUGAAGGAAUACCGGUGGCGAAGGCGGCCCCCCUGGACAGAUACUGACACUCAGAUGCGAAAGCGUGGGGAGCAAACAGGAUUAGAUACCCUGGUAG